rnacentral:lncRNA from 9 species
UGCAGGAAGUGACCACCUGCACUGCGGAGACUGGCCCCAGAGGAAGACCCGCCACCUGCCCCCAGGCCCCAGCCUCCAGCCCCUCCACAGACCACGCGAACCAAGGGCUCCAUCCUCAGGUCUGGGACUGAGCCCGACACAGUGGGGGAGAGUUUCUGAGUUUUCCAGCAGCAUGACAGCCCCCAGGAGGGCCGACCUGCCUUCUUUCUGAUAGACGAGAAGCUGUUCUUCUGGAAGAUCGUAAAGUCAUGAGACCAAUAGCACCUGGACAGUUACAUCAGCAUCGCUGUGGUUUUCCUCCAAGAACGGAUAUGAAGCUCAGAAGAGGAACUAAAGCUAAGAAAAACCGAGUGACAAAUACUGAUCUGGGGAGAAGGACUUGUGUGUGUCCUGACCUGCAGUGUGUUGCAUCACCAGCAAAACAGCACUUGCCUGAAUCGAGGCCUGAUAGGACACCUGGGUUUCCCACAAAGGAAACCGCGGGUCCGGCUGCCCCGAGGGAAAUGGUGUGGGGGCUCCUGGGUAAGGGGGGGGCGACAGAAACCUCGUCCUGCCGUGCGCCAGGUUCCAAAGAGUAAGGGGGGGCUCCUUGUGUUUAAAUGCAGUACUAGCAAACAUCGCCGUCUUUAAAACCCUGAUACUGUCUCUUUGUGAUGACCCAGGGGGGAAAACUGCUAAAACUAAGAGCAGCCAUAUUCUUCCAAAAUAAAGACUUUCAAACCCAGUCAUAGUCGCCAUCAAAUGCUGAAUAUUUAUUGACCAAAUCUUUUUAAAAAAUCUUCAAUUUACCAUUUAUAUUCUCCUUCCACAGCCAGGCAGACAGCGGGAGUCAUGGAAUUCGAGAUGGAUGUUAAUAAAACCACGCUCGGGACCAAAGUCACAUUAAAUAAGUCCAGAGGCCAGACGCCCCACGCGUAAAUAUGCCACAUUCAGUUGAUCAUUAGGAAAGUGCUAAAAAUAUUAUCUCUUCACCUUAAAGAAAUAAUGGGAAGACAUAAAACUCACUUGAACCUUUGAGCCCCAGCCAAGAGCUGACACCAAAUGCCAAGUUAAGGGCAGGCCGAUGUGUUUUUCUAGCUUGUAAAACUUCCGACAAGCAUCACAAAGUUUGGUAGCUAAUUCAGUGCUUGUUCUUGUACACCAAGUGUCAGGAUCCAGGCGUGGACCGAGGAUGGUGGGUGGAGUGGAGAGAAUAUCACCGCGGGGGGAGCGGCGUGGGGCGGAGUGGAUGACGCAGUGGGGGCGCCGAGUGUCCUGCGUCCAGGGAGUGAGGGGUGCCCUGUCUGUGCAGAAUUGAAAACACUAAGACGACCACCUCGGGGUCCAUCAACCUCCCAUUUCCCUGCACGCUGGCCCCACAUACAACCUCCGCGCUCAAGUCUUGCCCGUGGAGCGACCCGCCACCAUCCAAAUGGCACCCACUCGGAGCCCCGACCACAUCUCUCUGCUGCCGUAAAGUUCUCACUGUCGGGAGCAAUGUCCAAACUCUUCUGAAACCCUCCCCUCACCAUCACUCAUUGACAACCAUCGGUAGCUUAAAUAAACACAGAAAUACAAACAGAAACGGAGUCACAG